rnacentral:sRNA from 1 species
GGAAUCAUUAAAGAGGGAAAUUGUUGCUUUAUGGCACGGCGAGAGAAGAGUUAGGUAGUUAGUGGGAGUGUAGCAUCCAGAAAGAGGAAAAGAUCCGCUGUGUUCUCAUGAAUAAUACGGCAGCUAGUCCAAUGUCUACUGCAACUUCAAGUAGUGGAAGGAGUACAGGGAAGUCUAUAAGCUUUGCAACAGAAUUACAGAGUAUGAUCUUGUAUUGUUGCUGUUGAGAAGUCCUGGCUGGGAACGGUGGCUAACACCUGUAAUCUCAGCACUUUGGGAGGCUGAGGAAGGAGGAUUGCUUGGGCCCAGGAGUUUGAGACCAGCUUGAGCAACAUAGCGAGAACCCUGUCUCUACUAAAAAUGAACAAAUAAAAAUAGCUGGUGUGGUAG